rnacentral:rRNA from 1 species
GAUGAACGCUGGCGGCAUGCUUAACACAUGCCAGUCGAACGGGAAGUGGUGUUUCCAGUGGCGAACGGGUGAGUAACGCGUAAGAACCUGCCCUUGGGAGGGGAACAACAACUGGAAACGGUUGCUAAUACCCCGUAGGCUGAGGAGCAAAAGGAGAAAUCCGCCCAAGGAGGGGCUCGCGUCUGAUUAGCUAGUUGGUGAGGUAAUAGCUUACCAAGGCGAUGAUCAGUAGCUGGUCCGAGAGGAUGAUCAGCCACACUGGGACUGAGACACGGCCCAGACUCCUACGGGAGGCAGCAGUGGGGAAUUUUCCGCAAUGGGCGAAAGCCUGACGGAGCAAUGCCGCGUGGAGGUGGAAGGCCUACGGGUCGUCAACUUCUUUUCUCGGAGAAGAAACAAUGACGGUAGCUGAGGAAUAAGCAUCGGCUAACUCUGUG